CCUACAACCCUGAUUCUAGACCUCCAGACUCUCCUAUCAAGGGUCAUGUCCUCGGAAACCUGCAUUCUAGUAUAUCAUAUGCUUGAUUAUACUUCUCUGCUUUAUUUUUAUGGAUUUUAAGAAAUUUGCAUUACUAAUUUGUAAUGGUAGUUAUAUAUUUUGAAAAAGAGGUGCUGAUAGUAUAUAGAUAACAUCCCUCCUUCGUCGUACAUAGAUGGAGUUUACAUAGCAUUGGGGUAUUGAUUACUUUAUUACAAUAUUUUUUACCACUUUUGCCACUCUUUCAUUUUAUAGUGCUGGGUCUAUUUAUUGGUUAUUGCUAUUGCUUUCAUUGGGGGAUUAUACUGGGUUGUUGUUGUUGUUGUUGUUGUUGUUGCUACUACUGCUAUUGCUUUCAUCUAUUUUCUGGCUUUAUGUUGUUGUUAUUAUUCCUUUGGUUUCGGUUGAUAAUACUGAUAUAUUGUCUCGGGGUAGGGGUAAGGUCUGAUUUUACUAGGUCAUUGUUGUUGUUGUAGUCUCAGGCAUGUAGUUUUUCAUGAUUCCUCCUCUUUCCUUUGCGGUUUAGUUAUUAAGGCAGCUGUUACCCACCAUAAUGUUGUUUAAGUUACUAAUGAUGUGUAACUUCUUGUUAAUUAUCCCAUCAAGUUACCUAAUGCCUGUAGAUUAUAGCUCCUCGGAAAUGAACAAGGUAAGAUCAACAAUAUGAAGCCUCUUGACAAUGCAGUUUUGCUUAUGGAAUUAAGUGUUAUGGCAGUAAGUUUUGGUUUGCUCGUGUUGAACUUCAGCUGUGCUAAAACAGAAGCUUUUAAGGCAUUCUCUGAAGUCCACACAUAUACUGUUGUUGUUGAAUCCAUACUUCUACAUUCUAAUUGCUUCUAUUCUGCAGUACAAUUCAUUUUUGAUAUCAUAUUUGCGGAAGAGAUGGCUUGAUGUCCUUCUCACAUGGAUUUUUGUACUGAUGAAGUGCUUUUGGAGCUGGUGAAAUCUGAUUUAAGUUUAGACUGAAGUUAGGGCUUUUUCCUGACCAGACUGAUGAAGUGCUUUUGGAGCUGGUUAAAUCUGAUUUAAGUUUAGACUGAAGUUAAGGCUUUUUCCUGACCAGAGAUAACAUAGUUAUCCAUAUUGGAGAUCUAUCCUGUGGAAUGUGGAUAUUGUUUCCACUUGGGUAAAGAAGAGAAUUAUUUUGAUCACUCCAGGUGGAAGGGGUUGGAACCUGGUAAUACAAGAGAUUCUUAAUAUAGAUAUCACUGUAAACUUUAGCUGCUUUGUAUAUUUAUUUCAUUUAUUCAUAUUUUGAUCCCUCCAGGCUUUUUGUCAUAUUUGUCCUUAGUUGGUAACAUAGUUGUGAUCAAAUAUGAAACAUCUUAACUAGUUGUUGUUGUUGCUGCUAGUGCUAUUGCUUUCAUCUAUUUUCUG
rnacentral:lncRNA from 1 species